CUCCGCCAUCGCCAAGUUCCUUCGCCAUCGUUCAACUGAGCGUUCAUCUCUCUUUCACAACGGUCAAACAGUUUCGAGCUUCUGCAAAUUCGGCUCCAAUGGAUACUUGUGAAUGCUUCAGCAUUGUCUUGCUUUAGCAUUCCGACUGACAUGCAUUGAUAUGUAUCACAGCGUAAACCGCCUCGUCUUUCGAGCUAGUAUCACCAAGUGUGUCAAGGUUGGUUUAAUUGAUGAAGCUAUCAGGAUAUUCGAUGAAAUGACUCAAUCGAAUUGCCCUGUAACGAGCAGAGACUACAAUCGCUUUAUUGGAGUUCUGAUUAGCCGCUCGCGUUUCGAUUUGGCCGAAAGUUAUUACUCGAGAAUGAUACCUCAAGGUUUUUCUCUUACGCCAUUUACUUACUCUAGGUUCAUUUCUGCUUUGUGUGAAGUUAAGAAUUUCGGCCUCAUAGCUAGGCUGUUAGAAGAUAUGAAUAAGCUUGGCUAUAUUCCUGACAUCUGGGCUUUUAAUAUAUAUUUGAAUCUCUUAUUCCGUGAAAACUUUUUAGAAUUGGCUUUAGAGUUUUUUAACGAAAUGGUUUCGAAAGGAAGGGAACCUGAUGUUGUAACAUACACCAUAAUAGUUGAUAGAUUGUGCAAAGCCAAGCAAUAUGGCCAAGCUGUGGAGUUUUGGCGUUUUAUGGUUCAGAAGGGGAUUAGUCCAGACAUGAAAGCCUGUACGGCUCUUGUUGUUGGGCUCUGCGAUGGUGGGAAAGUUGAUUUAGCAUAUGAACUUAUGGUUGGUAAAAUGAAGGGUCAGACGAAGUUCAACAAUUUGAUUUAUAAUUCUCUGAUUAGUGGGUUUUGUAAAGCUGGGAGGAUCUCUAAGGCACUGGCCCUCAAGUCAUUUAUGAGUAAUAAUGGUUGUGAGCCAGAUUUGGUUACCUACAAUAUUUUGCUGAAUUUUUUUUGCGAUGGGCUUAUGUUGGAGGAUGCAGGGGAGUCGAUGAAGAAGAUGGAGAGGAUAGGAAUGGAGCCUGAUGUGUACAGUUACAACCAACUUCUUAAGGGUCUUUGCAAGGCUAAUCGGCUGGAUAAAGCAUAUAGAUUGAUGAAUAAAAUGUGGGAGAAAGGGUUGUGUGACACUGUUUCAUACAACACUUUGAUAAGUGCACUAUGCAAAGCAUUGGCAACUAGAAAGGCAUACAAGCUAUUUGAGGAAAUGGGCCAGAAAGGUAUUGCUCCAGAUGUGGGAACAUUUGCAACUCUUAUAAAAGCUUUUCUUAGAGAAGGAAGCUCCCAUAUAGCUAAGAGACUUCUUCAUAAGAUGACCGAGACAAUUCUGUUACCUGAUCACAUAUUUUAUACAACGGUCAUAGAUUACCUUUGUAAGACGGGGAAGAUUGAGAUGGCUCAAGGCGUCUUUCAUGACAUGAUAGAGAUAGGAAUCUCCCCUGAUGUGGUUUCAUAUAAUGCUCUUAUAAAUGGGCUUUGCAAGGCCUUUAAAGUUCAUGAGGCCAUGUUACUGUAUGAAGAAAUGCAAAUGAGAGGAUGCUAUCCUGACGAGGUAACUUUCAAACUGAUAAUUGGAGGACUUUUACGAGAAAAGAAUCUUCCUUUAGCUUGUCAGGUCUGGGAUCAGAUGAUGGAGAAGGGCUAUACGCUUGACAGAUUUCUAUCCGAGGCUCUUAUCAAUGCCAUUCAGUCGAGGGAUGCUGGUUAACCAUGGAACUAGGAAACAAAUAAGCCUCUUAAAGAUAUAAAUCACAUUUUGAUACGACUGUUCAUCCGUGGGAUCCCUGGAAGAUCCUUUGGCAAUUGCGAGGCUUGGACCAGCUCUUUGACUUCUGGUGCUCCAUUCCGUGUUUGCAUACAUAUACAUCCAUCUAAUCCAUUGGAGUUUUCAAGAGGGAUUUGGUUAUAAUUGUACAAUAGACAUGGAGGCGCUUAGCUUUCCAGGCAUUGCACCUGUCUUGGAGAAAUUUCCCUUCUGAUACAGUGUCCAAAUUUCUUAUACGACCCUAUCUUCGGAUCGUGCUCAUUGCAAAAGUCAGGACUAGGAAGCCCUGCUUAGCAUCGAAAACUACCGGGAUCGAGGAUUGUAUUUCUCAUCACAUUGAUGGCAUAAGAACGAACACGUUCAAGGCAAUGUGAGUUUGUGUAAUUUUAGUUAGCCAAAAUUUUGCACGAAAAGUUGAUGUGUGUUAAUAUACGCUAGAGUUGUUCAUAAACUGUCUAGAUAUCAUGUAACUGCAAUAAAAA